AAAGCAUCCUCGCAGGGAAGACAUGAUCACGAAGGUGGUUUUCCCAGGGCGAGGCUCAUCCAUUGCACUCCUAAUGUGCUGACCCCUGCGAUUUCCCCAAAUGUGGGAAAACUUAUCUGCAUAAUUCGUGGUGGUGGGAGACUGCAUUCACAUUCUCCUU